UUAAGCUAAGAAGAGCGUAGGGAGAAUGCCUUGGCAUUAGGAGCCGACGAAGGACGUGAUAAGCUGCGAUAAGCUGCGGGGAUCAGCAAGUAUGAAUUGAUCCGCAGAUUUCCGAAUGGAGCAAUCCGUAUGUGUAUGCACAUACAUCAUAUACUGAAUCAAAUAGGUAUAUGAGGGGAACCGCCUGAACUGAAACAUCUAAGUAGGGCGAGGAAGAGAAAUCAACUGAGAUUCCGUAAGUAGUGGCGAGCGAACGCGGAAGAGGCCAAACCGAGAGUAGUAAUACUUUCGGGGUUCGGACAGAAUACGGCAUUGUAAAGGUUUAGUGGAAUGGAAUGGGAAGUCCAACCGAAGAAGGUGAGAGUCCUGUACACGAAAAGCCUGAACAGCCAUCUGUAUCCAGAGUACCGCCGGACACGUGAAACCCGGUGGGAAUAUGGGGGGACCAUCCUCCAAGCCUAAAUACUACUCGGUGACCGAUAGUGAAGAAGUACUGUGAAGGAAAGGUGAAAAGUACCCCUGACGGGGAGUGAAAAAGAACCUGAAACCUUGUGUUUACAAGCACCGAAAGCUCAUCAAAGAGCGAUCGGGUACCUUUUGUAGAAUGGUCCGGCGAGUGAAUGUAACCGGCGAGGUUAAGCACUUAAGGUGUGAAGCCGCAGCGAGAGCAAGUCUGAAUAGGGCGUAUGAAGUCGGUUGUAUUCGACCCGAAACCGGGUGACCUACCCAUGGUCAGGUUGAAGUAAAGGUAAAACUUUAUGGAGGACCGAACCGACUCCCGUUGAAAUGGUAGCGGAUGAACUGUGGGUAGCGGAGAAAUUCCAAUCGAACCCGGAGAUAGCUGGUUCUCUCCGAAAUAGCUUUAGGGCUAGCCUUGAAAUAGAUUACCGGAGGUAAAGCACUGAAUUGGCUAGGGGCCGAGAGGUUACUGAACCCUAUCAAACUAAGAAUGCCGGAUAAUCGUUUUUCAGGAGUCAGACAGUGGGAGAUAAGUUUCAUUGUCAAAAGGGAAACAGCCCAGACCCACAGCUAAGGUCCCCAAGUAUAGUUAAGUGGAAAAGGAUGUGGAAUUGCACAGACAACCAGGAUGUUGGCUUAGAAGCAGCCACUCAUUUAAAGAGUGCGUAAUAGCUCACUGGUCGAGUGAUCCUGCGCCGAAAAUUUCCGGGGCUAAAACGUACUACCGAAGCUACGGCAUCAUUUAUGAUGGGUAGGGGAGCUUCGUAUGCAGGCUGAAGCAUGACCGUAAGGACAUGUGGACAGUAUACGAGUGAGAAUGUUGGCAUGAGUAGCGAGACGUGGGUGAGAAUCCCACGGGCCGUAAACCCAAGGUUUCCAGGGGAAGGUUCGUCCGCCCUGGGUUAGUCGGGACCUAAGCCGAGGCCGAAAGGCGUAGGUGAUGGACAACAGGUUGAUAUUCCUGUACCGCCAAUAAGCGUUUGAGAGAUGGAGUGACACAGUAGGAUAAGCUAACCGUACUGUUGGUUAUGUACGGCUAAGCAUUGAGGCAGUCUAAAUAGGCAAAUCCGUUUAGACAAUGCUAGGAUGUGAUGGGGAAGCCCUUCGGGGCGAAGUAGCUGAUUUCACACUGUCAAGAAAAGCUUCUAUCGAGUUUAAAGGCGCCCGUACCGUAAACCGACACAGGUGGUCGAGGAGAGUAUCCUAAGGCCAGCGAGAGAACUAUUGUUAAGGAACUCGGCAAAAUGACCCCGUAACUUAGGGAGAAGGGGUGCCUGUCUAUGACAGGCCGCAGAGAAUAGGCCCAAGCGACUGUUUACCAAAAACACAGGUUUCUGCUAAGUCGCAAGACGAUGUAUAGGAGCUGACGCCUGCCCGGUGCUGGAAGGUUAAGGGGAUCUGUUAGAGCAAUCGAAGCAGUGAACUUAAGCCCCAGUAAACGGCGGCCGUAACUAUAACGGUCCUAAGGUAGCGAAAUUCCUUGUCGGGUAAGUUCCGACCCGCACGAAAGGCGUAAUGAUUUGAGCACUGUCUCGACAAUGCAUCCGGUGAAAUUGAAGUACCAGUGAAGAUGCUGGUUACCUGCGCCAGGACGGAAAGACCCCAUGGAGCUUUACUCCAGCUUGAUACUGGGAUUCGAUACUGUAUGUACAGGAUAGGUGGGAGACGUUGAGCAUAGAACGCCAGUUUUAUGUGAGUCGCUGUUGGGAUACCACCCUUGCAGUAUUGGAUUUCUAACCUGCACCCAUGACCUGGGUGGGGGACAAUGUCUGGCGGGGAGUUUGACUGGGGCGGUCGCCUCCGAAAGGGUAUCGGAGGCGCUCAAAGGUUCCC
rnacentral:rRNA from 1 species